CCUACGGGAGGCUGCAGUGGGGAAUAUUGCACAAUGGGGGGAACCCUGAUGCAGCGACGCCGCGUGGGUGAGGAAGUACCUCGGUAUGUAAAGCCCUAUCAGCAGGGAAGAAAAUGACGGUACCUGACUAAGAAGCCCCGGCUAACUACGUGCCAGCAGCCGCGGUAAUACGUAGGGGGCAAGCGUUAUCCGGAUUUACUGGGUGUAAAGGGAGCGUAGACGGCGUGCCAAGUCUGGGGUGAAAGGCCGGGGCUCAACCCCGGGACUGCAUUGGAAACUGGCAUGCUGGAGUGCCGGAGGGGCAAGCGGAAUUCCUAGUGUAGCGGUGAAAGGCGUAGAUAUUAGGAGGAACACCGGUGGCGAAGGCGGCUUACUGGACGGUAACUGACGUUGAGGCUCGAAAGCGUGGGGAGCAAACAGGAUUAGAUACCCGGGUAGUC
rnacentral:rRNA from 1 species